rnacentral:rRNA from 1 species
UACGUAGGGGGCAAGCGUUAUCCGGAUUUACUGGGUGUAAAGGGAGCGUAGGUGGCAUGGUAAGUCAGAAGUGAAAGCCCAGGGCUCAACCCUGGGACUGCUUUUGAAACUAUCAAGCUAGAGUGCAGGAGAGGUAAGUGGAAUUCCUAGUGUAGCGGUGAAAUGCGUAGAUAUUAGGAGGAACACCAGUGGCGAAGGCGGCUUACUGGACUGUAACUGACACUGAGGCUCGAAAGCGUGGGGAGCAAACAGG